GCUGUAUCUCAAAAUUGCUGAUGUUUUACUCGUUUGGAUUGUUUUGUAUUUGUCUUGUAGAGGCCUUUUCUUGCUUACUAUGUGGUAAAGGGUUUGUUGAUUAUUGAAGGUCGUUCUAUAUGUGGAAUAUAUGCUGACCUAUACGUGCUUAACUUAAACGUUAUUUGGUAAUCAUGCCACGUAUUUCUGAAGGUCAAUAAAAAUGCGUUUCUUCUGAUGCUGAGGAAAACUGAUAGAUACGUAUAACAUACCCGCAAAACGAAACAUAUGUACCACUUCAU
rnacentral:lncRNA from 1 species